GUUUGAUCAUGGCUCAGAACGAACGCUGGCGGCGUGCUUAACACAUGCAAGUCGAACGAGGUAGCAAUACCUAGUGGCGGACGGGUGAGUAAGACAUAGGUAACGUGCCCUGGAGUGGGGGAUACCCAGCCGAAAGGUUGGCUAAUACCGCAUGAUGUGCGUGGGUGUAAAUCCUGCGUACCAAAGAUUUAUCGCUCUGGGAUCGGCCUAUGGUCGAUUAUCUAGUUGGUGGGGUAACGGCCUACCAAGGGUGCGAUCGAUAGCUGGUCUGAGAGGAUGAUCAGCCACACUGGGACUGAGACACGGCCCAAACUCCUACGGGAGGCAGCAGUGGGGAAUUUUCCGCAAUGGGCGAAAGCCUGACGGAGCGACGCCGCGUGGAGGAUGACGGCCUUCGGGUUGUAAACUCCUUUCGGCAGGGACGAUAAUGACGGUACCUGCACAAGAAGCAUCGGCUAACUACGUGCCAGCAGCCGUGGUAAGACGUAGGAUGCGAGCGUUGUUCGGAUUUAUUGGGCGUAAAGCGUGCGUAGGUGGUUCGUUAAGUCUGGUGUCAAAGUCGGGGGCUCAACCCCCGUUCGCACUGGAUACUGGCGGACUCGAGUCCGGUAGGGGGAGUUGGAAUUCCUAGUGUAGCGGUGAAAUGCAUAGAUAUUCGGAGGAACACCAGCGGCGAAGGCGAACUCCUGUGUCGGCACUGACACUGAUGCACGAAAGCGUGGGGAGCAAACGGAAUUACACACCCCGGUAGUCCACGCGGUAUCGAUGGAUGUUAGGUGUAGGGGGUAUCGACCCCCCCUGUGCGUCAGCUAACGCGUUGAACAUUCUCGCCGGGGGAGUACGGUCGCAAGAGUGAAACUCAAAGGAACUUGACGGGA
rnacentral:rRNA from 1 species